ACAUCUACGGCUACACAAGGAAUGGAUAAUGCUCGGAUAAUGCAGAACAAGGUCACGUCAGGCCACACAGCUUGAUUUAAGAUCAGGCGGUCCGACAUCUGUAUCCAACCAGUAUGAGUAAAUUGAUAAAAAACAACAACAAAAAAAUGUGUAAUAAUUUCGAAUCACAAAGCG